rnacentral:lncRNA from 1 species
AUGGCAGAUUUUACUGCUCUGUGGGGGAGCAAUUCUACCAGCCAACCUCCCACUGCCUUGUCUGAAUUUCCACAAGGCACAGCACUGGAAGGCAGUGGUGCAGGAGCCUCUGGCUACCUGAGCCAUCGGGCUCCAUCCUGCCCCAUCCAUCAUCCAUCAUCCAUCAUCCAUCCAUCAUCCAUCAUCCAUCCAUCCAUCCAUCAUCCAUCAUCCAUCAUCCAUCAUCCAUCAUCCAUCCAUCCAUCCAUCAUCCAUCAUCCAUCAUCCAUCCAUCAUCCAUCAUCCAUCAUCCAUCAUCCAUCCAUCCAUCAUCCAUCCAUCCAUCCAUCAUCCAUCAUCCAUCAUCCAUCAUCCAUCAUCCAUCCAUCCAUCAUCCAUCCACCCUCUGGUGUUUGCUGUAAGGUUUAAUUCUGUCUGUGUCCAUAAAGCACACACUGCCUGUGUGAGGGGCAGAUUGAGCUGUGCUGUUCUGGCACCAUUUUAAAGCAUUUACCACAGUUCAGUUCUGUCUAAUACAACAAGGACAGAUUUUUUUAAACAUUUGUGGCACAGUAAUAGUUCCACUGAGUGUCCCCAACUUGCAGUGUAAUAAAUACAGGGUUUAUAUCA